UGAAAAAUCAAACACAACCAAAAUGGGGAAGAAGCAUUUUUGUAACCUGAAAGAUCCUGGGUCAAGGGAGUCUGCAUAAGGAGUACCAAAAUUGUAAAAGGAUACCUGACAUGGGUGUGUAAUGAAUUCACACCUUCGAGGAUUUGGCAUUUCUUAACUGGAUGCUUUAUUAAAAGCACUUUGAGAACAAAGGUUGGUGAGGCAAGAUGGGAACCUUCUCCUUCAGUUUAGUUUACCAGAGAGAAAUCCACUGAAUCUACCGCACACACCCUCCCCCAACUGGACACAGCCAUCUAAGGAACUUAGAGGAUUGCUUUGACUUGGCACCUCAAGGUUUUGUUUUGGCUACACAUUGAUAAGAAAGCACAGAUGUCUCUUUGAAAUUUGACCAGAACGGAGGAAAAAAAUGUUCUUUGUGAAUCCAUGCUUUAAUAUUGUUGAUCUUUAAGAUAGGGUUGCUGUGUUUGUCAGAAUGACACAAUCCCAAAGAAAAUUAGAGGUCUUGACUUUGCAAGAUAUACUUUCAGAACUACAGAAAUUAUUAAAUAAGGAAGAGAAACAAC